rnacentral:rRNA from 1 species
UACGGAGGGUGCGAGCGUUGUCCGGAAUCAUUGGGCGUAAAGGGCGCGUAGGUGGCCCGGUCAGUUCGUGGUGAAAGCGCGGGGCUCAACCCUGCGUCGGCCAUGAAUACUGCCGCGGCUGGAGCACUGUAGAGGCAGGCGGAAUUCCGGGUGUAGCGGUGGAAUGCGCAGAUAUCAGGAGGAACACCUAUUGCGAAGGCAGCUCGCUGGGACGUUACUGACGCUGAGACGCGAAAGCGUGGGGAGCAAACAGG